GAUGAACGCUAGCGGCAGGCUUAACACAUGCAAGCCGAGCGGCAGCGCGAGUAGUUUACUACUUGGCGGCGAGCGGCGGACGGCUGAGUAACGCGUGGGAACGUGCCCCAAAGUGAGGAAUAACUGCCCGAAAGGGUGGCUAAUGCCGCAUAUGAUCUUCGGAUCAAAGGAUUUAUCCGCUUUGGGAGCGGCCCGCGUCGGAUUAGGUUGUUGGUGAGGUAAUGGCUCACCAAGCCGACGAUCCGUAGCUGGUCUGAGAGGACGAUCAGCCACACUGGGACUGAGACACGGCCCAGACUGCUACGGGAGGCAGCAGUGGGGAAUCUUGCACUAAUGCGAGAAGCCGUGACGCAGCGACGCCGCGUGAGGGAAGAAGGCCUUCGGGUUGUAAACCUCUUUCAGGAGGGACGAAGCUACUCGGGUUAAUAGCCCAGAGGGUGACGGUACCUCCAGAAGAAGCCCCGGCUAACUAC
rnacentral:rRNA from 1 species